rnacentral:rRNA from 1 species
UUUUCGCAAUGCCCGAAAGGGUGACGAAGCGACGCCGCGUGGGUGAGGAAGGCCUUCGGGUUGUAAAACCCUGUCAGGAGUUAAGAAAUGUAGGUGCGCUAAUACCGCAUUUAUUUGACGAAGGCUCCAAAGGAAGCCACGGCUAACUCUGUGCCAGCAGCCGCGGUAAUACAGAGGUGGCAAGCGUUGUUCGGAAUUAUUGGGCGUAAAGAGCACGUAGGUGGGUUUGUAAGUCAGAUGUGAAAGCCUUCUGUUCAACGGAAGAAUUGCAUCUGAAACUGCGAAUCUUGAGUGUAGGAGGGGAGAAUGGAACUUCUGGUGGAGCGGUGAAAUGCGUAGAUAUCAGAAGGAACGCCGGCGGCGAAAGCGAUUCUCUGGCCUAUUACUGACACUCAGUGUGCGAAAGCUAGGGGAGCAAACGGGAUUAGAUACCCCGGUAGUCCUAGCCGUAAACGAUGGGCACUAAGUAGAGGGGUUUUAAUC